GAGCGAUUCAGAGAGGUCGAACAUGGAGAGCUGCGAUUGUUACCAGUGCCAUGUGAUGAGGGUGUCGGUGCACAACUUGCAGAAUCCUAACGAUGAGGUGCCGUUCCCGACGACGCCACCGGGGACUCCACCCAGGUAUCCCUUGCACAGGCCAGAAACGCCACCAUCCUGAGUGGAGCAGGGGCCUCUACCAUCAUCUCCAAAGGCUCCAAUAAGACCGGUGACUGUCGUGAGGCCAAGGGUCCGGGCACAGGAGGUCAGGGCGCCAACACCUCUACCGGAGGUCAGGGUGCCGACAGCUCCACCAGAGGCCAGGGCGCCAACACCCCCACCAAGGUCACCGAGACCACCACCCGGCCCAGAGAGAAGGCAACGACGAAGACGUCAUCGCCGCCAUUAAUAUUAAUAUUUUUAUUAAUUUUUAAUUUUUUAAUAAACGUGUUUAUUUUGUA